rnacentral:tmRNA from 1 species
GGGGAUGACAGGUUUCGAUGGGAAGCGAAAUCAUUUUCUGCAAGCCGUCGUGUAUGCAGACGUUAAUCGCAUACAAACUCAUACAUGCCAACGUAUGGAACAGAAUGAAGGUAGCUGUGAGCAAUGCUUUCAGCAUGCCGGAGUUCUCACCGGUAGUCGCGUAAGUGAUUACCCAUCGCACUCUUGAUGUCUGGUAGAGAGACCGCGGUGCAAUAUACCAAACUUGGGCGCGCACACCUCCUGUUGCGCACGCCGACACGGCACAGGAUUACCAAAGUACACUCUUGUUCGGCCUGACGUACUGCGGGAAAAAAAUCGGCCGGACUACGCUUGUAGACGGGAGUGGUUCUCAUUUUCCAGACGCGGGUUCAAUUCCCGCCAUCUCCACCA